AUUGAACGCUGGCGGCAGGCUUAACACAUGCAAGUCGAGCGAGCGGCGCACGGGUGAGCAAUGUCUGGGAAACUGCCUGAUGGAGGGGGAUAACCACUGGAAACGGUAGCUAAUACCGCAUACCAUCAGAUGUGCCCAUAUGGGAUUAGCUAGUAGGUGGGGGAAUGGCUCACCUAGGCGACGAUCCCUAGUUGGUCUGCGAGGAUGACCAGCCACACUGGAACGGAGACACGGUCCAGAGUCCUAAGGGAGGAAGCAGUGGGGAAUAUUGCACAAUGGGCGCAAGCCUGAUGCAGCCAUGCCGCGUGUGUGAAGAAGGCCUUCGGGUUGUAAAGCACUUGCAGCGAGGAGGCGUUACUCGCAGAAGAAGCACCGGCUAACUCCGUGCCAGCCGCCGCGGUAAUAC
rnacentral:rRNA from 1 species